GCAGGUAGCUAAAACAACUCCAAAAUCAUCACUGGUCAGAGAUGCUAAGUUUCAAUCAGGACCUGACUUCUUGAAGUUUCACUGCGUCUGAACUGAGUGAUUUCAUUGCAUCAUUAACAGUGCAGCAAAAUGUUUGGAUACUCUCCUCAUCUCCCUGGAAAAUGCUAGACCUGCUGAAAUCAGCACAGCCAGUUCAGCAAAGCUGCAUGUUAGGGACUGCUGUUUCUUGUUGGUCUGCACAAGUGCACAUACCCAUAUGUUUCUGGGAGAUGUAAAACCAUAAUAUUGCUGCUGUGUAAUCCACAACAAAAGCACGUGAGAACUGCAUUCCUUGGAUUCCUGUACAGUAGACUAAUCCACUUAAUCUCGCUGUUUGCUUCUCUGGCUGGAAUUUCACAGCCUCCUCUGAGUUACUGGUUUGUAAAUCUCUUUUUAAGUGUCUCUCUUUCUUUUUCAUUUUUUUGGGGAGGUGAAGAGGCUAGGGGAUACGAUUUCUGAAACUUCAUUUUCUCUCUCAGAUGAUUUUAUGGAAAGGAACUGUGGAAGUUGAGAUGAAGGUUAGAUGGAUUUUUUUUCUGUCAUCAUUUUAUCAUCAUCUGAUAAUCUUAUAAAAAGUUCAUCAAGAGUUUUCUCUGGUCUCUCAGGUCUUAUGUGCACAGGUCAUCCCUUUUUGUCACAUGGCAACAUUUCCACUCCCCAGCCUCACAAGUUCCCUAUGUUGUGUUUUCAAACAAAGAUGAUAACCAAGAUGUGUGGAAGUUCUUUUCUUUCCUGUUAGCACACCAAUAGUUAUGGACAAGCACAGAACACGGGAGCUAGAUGAUUGUUGUGAGGCAAAUUGUCAAAAUCCUACUGCUCUGGCUUUUGAAGAGGCAUUUGUGUAGCAUAGUUAUGAAUGCAAGAUAAAUCUUUAGCUAAGCAGGUAGAUAAAUGAGGUAGCUUGGUCUCAGAAGGUGCUCAGCUGAUACUAAUAUCAAUUUAAGACCUGCUUUUGAACUACAAAAGUGUGAGUAAAUAAUAGAGGUGGAUUGCCUGACUUAAUGAGUCAUAAAGGAUGGGAAAUAAAACACUGUGUUCCUGAAGUAAACCCUUCAUUUAAAAUAAUAA